AUGUCGAACAACGAAGAAACUGGGCCUUCUGACCAAGAUGCAGACGAGAUGGAUUAUGAGGGUGAACAAGAGUACCUCGACUAUUUGACUGCUAAGCAAGGUUUGCAGGUCGGCCUCGAUGAUGGUACUGACGCCGACAUCGACACCGACGGCGCCGGCACCGAUGGCGGCGCCGAGACCGAUGGCGGCACCGAGACCAGCGGGGAAGGUACCGGCGGGGAAGAUACCGGCGGGGAAGGUACCGGCGCCAAUGCCGCUAUCGAAAAUCACAAGCCGAAGAAGCAGAGGAUACGAAAACCUAACAAACUAGGGACUGGACGACUAGUGAUCACAAAGAUGGCACUUGGCAAGUUUGAGCCAUUAGAGCCGGAAGAACCUCGGAAGUGCUAUGGGAACCAAGUAGGAUGCAUCCUACGGGAAUGCGCGAGCAUCAACGACGAUGACUUAAGGAGUAAAGAACAUUUGACGCAGUUGCUCCUGACGAAGUUGCACAAGAGAUUCAAGUUCCCUGACCGGGAUGAUAACAUAGAACAACCGUGGGAUGAUCCGAAGAUGAAAAAGAUUAACAAUCACGCCAUGGGCAUGUUCAGCAAUGAUUUGGCCUCCUGGAAAGGGAGGGUGAAACGAGCUAUUGAGGCUGAGGAACCCCUGUCCAAGAUUCUGGAGGAAAAUCCGACACUUACAGAAGAGGAGUUCGAAAAGUUCAAGGACACUUGCGCUACCGAGGCAGCCAAGGCUAAGGCUGCAAAAUUCAAGAGCCUUCAGCAAAGGAACACGGGGAAGCAUCGCCUCGGAAGCCGUGUCUACCUCGGUAAAAGGCCCAUAUGGGAUAAGGAGGACGCGGAACGUGAAGCCGCGGGUUUCCCAGACCCCUUCGCGAAGUUCAACAACCCCUUGGAGCGUGACUUCAUCAGGGCCGCUACAAAGUGGGACAAGGAAAAGAAGGUUUUUUACAUGGACCAGAUCACGAGGAAAUUGAUUAGACUACUAGUAAUUACUCUUUUACCACCUUACAAUUAG
rnacentral:rRNA from 1 species